rnacentral:rRNA from 2 species
CAUCCUCCAAGGCUAAAUACUCCUGACUGACCGAUAGUGAACCAGUACCGUGAGGGAAAGGCGAAAAGAACCCCGGCGAGGGGAGUGAAAAAGAACCUGAAACCGUGUACGUACAAGCAGUGGGAGCACCCUUUGGGGUGUGACUGCGUACCUUUUGUAUAAUGGGUCAGCGACUUAUAUUCUGUAGCAAGGUUAACCGUAUAGGGGAGCCGGAGGGAAACCGAGUCUUAACCGGGCGUUAAGUUGCAGGGUAUAGACCCGAAACCCGGUGAUCUAGCCAUGGGCAGGUUGAAGGUUGGGUAACACUAACUGGAGGACCGAACCGACUAAUGUUGAAAAAUUAGCGGAUGACCUGUGGCU